rnacentral:misc_RNA from 1 species
ACAUAACUCCGUGAACGUAAAGAGAAAAGUAAAUCCACCAUCUCUCCUUCAUAAACCCCAUCUCUACUUAAUUUCUUCAUGCAUCACUAACAAUGCACAUACAUACCUCUCUGAAAUGGCGUCAGCAACCAGAUUUUCAUAUCACAAGCUGAGGGAUGGAGGACCGUUGGAUGAUGAAGAAGAAAGAGCUUUCAGAAGGAUAAAGAAUUUUUCUGGGCUCAGGGGGUUCGGCAUUAAUAAUAGGAGGCGUGUGAAGCUUCAAAUCCCGGGGUUGAGAAGGUUCUUGAGAAAAACAUGGUUUCUAAAGAGGGUUAAAUUUUGUUGGGGUAAGGCUUUGAAGAGGUUGAAGAAUAGCCAAGCACACAUGAACGAUCUUUUUGGUGGAAAUUUUCUGGUCAUGCAGGUCAGCCACAGCCCUACUCCUCCUUUCAAGUGUGGUGUUCAGAGACCUUACCCUCAUCGCUUGCCUGCCUCAAGACAUCCACUCGGAAGAUUUUCUUGAUCUACUUUAAACUUGUUUCCUUGCAAUAAGUCUGUUUUCCUAUCAGAUUAUUAGUUUAAACUUCGUCUUGCAUGCAUGUCAUGCUGGUUUCCUAGUAAUAAUUUCUUUCCCUCUCAUAACUCCCUUUUGCUGCAUAUGAACAUGUGAUUAUAUUAAUUAUAUAGCUCGCUUAAUUAAAUUGUUCGGUUAACAAAAAAUUAAAACCAUGAUUUGAAAUUAAAUUAAAUUGUUCAGAAUUUCUGGAUUAGGACAGACUAUUUUAUAUAUACAGAAUUAUUGAAAGCUAGCAUUAAUUAAUAUCGAUGCGCAUGCUGAAUAUAUAGUUGGAGAGGGCAUAUUUAAGGCACUGCUUUAAUUGGUUCAUUGAUAAAUUUUUUUUUUAUUACUAUUUUAAGAAAAAUAAUAUUUUAUUUUAUAACGAAAAAUAAUGUUAUGAAAAAAAAAAAUUUUCUAAUGAAUAUCCUGAGAACACUGAUUAAUUAAGAAGCAAUUAAAUUAUGUUAAUCUCUUAUGAUAUUAUAAUUAAAUGUAAAUAAUUUGUAAUGAAUAUGAUACAUGAAUUUUAUAACAAUGAAUGUAGAUAAUAAAUCUAAAUAAUUUCUCUAUUCCUUCCUUUUGUUUGCCAGUAGUUAUUGAUUGCAAAUUAAAUAUUAAGCUUCUUAUUCUAAGUUAAUUAUCUUGAUGAACACCAUGGUCGGGAACAUGACGGUCAGAGGAACGAGUGUGAAUGAUCCAAACAAAUUCACGGAGUCUGAGUCUCCCAUGAAAGGCUGUAAUCAACGAGUUCCCAGCUGCAAAGAAGAUUGCAUGAAGGUGGAACUGUCUUUUGACGUUCUCUUUCGAAUUCAUGUAUUUGAGUGUUGACGAAGUGGCUGCCAAAAACUUGAACUUGAGUGGAUGAUUUCAAUUAUUGCAUUAACUCGAUCGAUGCAGGCUGCUGAAGAUUUGGAAUUUGAGCAAGUUAUCAGGGUUUGUAGAUUCUUUCAAUUCCCAGAGAGCAGGAACUUGGCCGCCUACAGCAGGUGCUCAAUACGUGCCAACCUCAGAAUCCCCUAGAUGUUGAAUCACUUGAAGAUAUUGCACAAGAAAAUAAACCAGCAUCAUGAAAGACGCAUCAAUGAAAAUUUGUCUUUUGAAUGAACGAAUUUUAUGAAGUCUCUUUUUUAAUUGACGUUAUUAAUUUGGAGAGAUUAUAGUUUAGAAAAUUAAAAAUUUAGAAUUUAAGUGAUUUUUUAUUAUGUUUAGAUUUUAUGA